rnacentral:rRNA from 1 species
UACAGAGGGUGCAAGCGUUGUUCGGAAUUACUGGGCGUAAAGCGCACGUAGGCGGCUUUGUAAGUAAGAGGUGAAAGCCUGGAGCUCAACUCCAGAAUUGCCUUUUAGACUGCAUCGCUUGAAUCAUGGAGAGGUGAGUGGAAUUCCGAGUGUAGAGGUGAAAUUCGUAGAUAUUCGGAAGAACACCAGUGGCGAAGGCGGCUCACUGGACAUGUAUUGACGCUGAGGUGCGAAAGCGUGGGGAGCAAACAGG